CACGCACACCGCAACGUUUGACAUUUCAGACGCAGCGCGCGACAACAUUACAACCUUAAAUCGCCUCCUGACAAGGAAUUGCGUCAGGCUGAAACUUUGGAUACGGCCGUACAAGUUAUCUUAAAAAGUACAAAAGUUUUUGCUUUUGGACUAUUUUGUGUUUAAGACUUUUAAAGUUACAAUAAUUUCAAAAAUGUAAAAAAAAAGGUAUAAAUGACUUACGAAUGAACCUAUAUAAUGCGAAUUGUGAAGUGUUGACUAAAAUGUUGUAUCGAGUGCAUAAUUGCGUUUUCGAGUGAACGUGUGAGUGACUGAAAAAAGACAGCUAAAGGUUUUCUCACGAGUUCACAGCUCGUUAAUUCGAAGAUAAUUUAAAGAAGACGUCUUCGCUUGCGUUCGCUCAUCGGUGAUAAAAUUUAUGACGAACGAAUAGUUCAAUGCUCAACAUCUAACAUAUGACGUUAUCAAAAAGGAAACAUGACUUGGUGGCCGCGAGCGCGCGAGAAAGGUGUAUUAGGAUGAGCUGGGGGCGUAUGGGG
rnacentral:misc_RNA from 1 species